UACAGAGGGGGCAAGCGUUGUUCGGAAUUACUGGGCGUAAAGGGCGCGCAGGCGGUCAACUAAGUCAGACGUGAAAUCCCUCGGCUUAACCGGGGAACUGCGUCUGAUACUGGAUGGCUUGAGGUUGGGAGAGGGAUGCGGAAUUCCAGGUGUAGCGGUGAAAUGCGUAGAUAUCUGGAGGAACACCGGUGGCGAAGGCGGCAUCCUGGACCAAUUCUGACGCUGAGGAGCGAAAGCCAGGGGAGCAAACGGG
rnacentral:rRNA from 1 species